rnacentral:rRNA from 1 species
AACCUCCGCAAUGUGAGAAAUCGCGACGGGGGGAUCCCAAGUGCCAUUCUUAACGGGAUGGCUUUUCAUUAGUGUAAAGAGCUUUUGGAAUAAGGGCUGGGCAAGACCGGUGCCAGCCGCCGCGGUAACACCGGCAGCUCUAGUGGUAGCAGUUUUUAUUGGGCCUAAAGCGUCCGUAGCCGGUUUAAUAAGUCUCUGGUGAAAUCCUGUAGCUUAACUGUGGGAAUUGCUGGAGAUACUAUUAGACUUGAGACCGGGAGAGGUUAGAGGUACUCCCAGGGUAGAGGUGAAAUUCUGUAAUCCUGGGAGGACCGCCUGUUGCGAAGGCGUCUAACUGGAACGGUUCUGACGGUGAGGGACGAAAGUUAGGGGCGCGAACCGGAUUAGAUACCCGGGUAGUCCUAACCGUAAACGAUGCGGACUUGGUGUUGGGGUGGCUUUGAGCUGCUCCAGUGCCGAAGGGAAGCUGUAAGUCCGCCGCCUGGGAAGUACGGUCGCAAGACUGAAACUUAAAGGAAUU